rnacentral:rRNA from 1 species
GACGACCGCUGGCGGCGUGCUUAACACAUGCAAGUCGAACGAAGUGGCGAACGGGUGAGUAACGCGUAAUCAACCUGCCCUUCAGAGGGGGACAACAGUGGGAAACGACUGCUAAUUCCGCAUACUGAAGGAGGGGCAUGCGUCUGAUUAGCUAGUUGGAGGGGUAACGGCCCACCAAGGCGAGGAUCAGUAGCCGGUCUUAGAGGAUGAAUGGCCAAAUGUGGACUGAGACACGGCCCAGACGCCUACGGGAGGCAGCAGUGGGGAAUCCUCCGCAAUGGACGAAAGUCUGACGAAGCAACGCCGCGUGAGUGAUGACGGCCUUCGGGUUGUAAAGCUCUGUUAAUCGGGACGCGGUACCGGAAUAGAAAGCCACGGCUAACUACGUGCCAGCCGCCGCGGUAAUAC